GUUUUCCUACGGGGGGCAGCAGUGAGGAAUAUUGGUCAAUGGGCGGGAGCCUGAACCAGCCAAGUCGCGUGAGGGACGACGGUCCUAUGGAUUGUAACCCUCUUUUGUCGGGGAACAAAGGCGCCCACGGGUGGGCGGAUGAGUGUACCCGACGAAACAGCAUCGGCUAACUCCGUGCCAGCAGCCGCGGUAAUACGGAGGAUGCGAGCGUUAUCCGGAUUUAUUGGGUUUACAGGGUGCGUAGGCGGACAGGCAAGUCAGCGGUAAAACUGCGGUGCUCAACGCCGUACAGCCGUUGAAA
rnacentral:rRNA from 1 species